rnacentral:rRNA from 1 species
UACAGAGGGUGCGAGCGUUAAUCGGAAUUACUGGGCGUAAAGCGCACGUAGAUGGCUUUGUAAGUCAGAUGUGAAAUCCCCGGGCUCAACCUGGGAACUGCAUUUGAAACUGCAUUGCUCGAAUGUGGAAGAGGGAAGCGGAAUUCCAGGUGUAGCGGUGAAAUGCGUAGAUAUCAGAAGGAACAUCAGUGGCGAAAGCGGCUUCCUGGUCCAGCACCGACGUUCAG